GGGGAUUUAGCUCAGCAGUAGAGCGCUUGCCUAGCAGGUGCAAGGCCCUGGGUUCGAUCCCCAGCUCCG
rfam:Rattus norvegicus chromosome 8, whole genome shotgun sequence.